rnacentral:rRNA from 1 species
UUUGCUGGGGAGUAGAUUUAUAGUUCAAAUUCAAAGGAUCUGGCGGUUUUUAAAUCUUUUUAGAGGAACCUGUAAUUUAAAUGAUAGUCCACGAUUUUUUUUUACCUUAAUUUUCUUGUAUAUCUCUGUCGUUGAGUGUGAUGAGAGUUUAUUUUCUUUUUCUUUAUUUGAAUUAUGUUAGGUCAAGGUGCAGUUAUAUUAAGGUUUUUAUGGGUUACAUUGAUUUUUGUUUUUGGAUAUUUAUUUUCUUUUAAGUUGAAUUUGGAUUUAAUAGUAAUUUUUUUUUUUUAAUUUUUUGAAUUGAGCUCUUAAAAAUGU